GCGAAGGUGGCGGAAUUGGUAGACGCGCUAGCUUCAGGNGUAGACGCGCUAGCUUCAGGUGUUAGUGUCUUAACGGACGUGAGGGUUCAAGUCCCUCUCUUCGCACCA
rnacentral:tRNA from 1 species